GUGUUGUGGCUGAUUUAGUGAUUUUAUUUGACAGAUUUAAUUGUCAGUAAGUGUCCACAAAGUCAUCAAAUCUCAUGCCAUUUAGAUUAAGACAACUUUUUUUUAAAACUAGCAUAUGGGUUAAUGUUGCAUGGUAGUGGUCCACAGCUUUUACUUGCUCAACCGUUGCGGUCUCUCAGUCGUAUAAUGCUUGUCAAUGGUAACUCCAUCUAUAAGAGUAAAAAAAAACACGCACAGACAAAUCCAAAUUAAACCCUGCGGCUCGUGACGACACAUUGAUGUCCUAAGACACGAAACGAUCGGUUUGUGCGAGAAAUCGAACAGUAUUUAUAUCAUUUUUCACCUCUAAAACACCACUAUGUUCAACUGCCUUGCGCAUCCGGUAGGUGAGGUCUCAAAACGCGUUGUGAUGACGGAAGUGAUGUCUCGCGCUUAUACUUCAAUGAGUGUGAGACAUCACUUCCGUUGUGUCGGAAACGUAACGCUCCUUACCAUAAUCGCAAGCUUUGCUUUUGAUGCCACACAAUGCUCUCAUCAAGGGCGAAUUGCAAACUGCAUUUUUACACCCUUGAAGGGCCCUUCGAAAAAGGGAACCCAUUUGUAGGGGAGUUCCAAAUGAAAGUGAACACCUGAAUACCUUCAUGAGGGCCCUUCCACAAGUCAGUUAGCAAAGGGUACAUACAAUGGUCACUUCAAGGAAUUAAUUUUAUCGUUUAUGGUCAUGUGACCUGAAUGGCGAGUCUUCCUGAUGCAUGCUACAUUCACGCCAUGUCAUAAUUACCACAAAUACAGCUCUUUCUUUGCUUUUGAAUCACUCUCAUGGUACAUUGAUGUCAUACACCGAUAAGCCUGCACAGCGCCGCUUCAAGUUGAACACACCUUAAAUCUGCAGUGGUCAGGUGGUACAGUGGUACAAGUAGUUCUCAGAAAGUCAAAAAGUUCUACGAAAAAGUUCUACAAGCAUGUGAAUGCUUUUUACUGCCCUUCAGAGUGAGUAGGGCAUAGGGAUGCUCACUUCUGAUUGGAAUUUGAAGGCAAAUGUCAGCUGUUAAGUGAAAGAAUGCCAGUGGGUGGGGCCUAUGUUGCGAUGAUGAUGUAUAACUAGGUGUGUUCGACAUCGGCUAUGGUUGGAUCAGGAUUGCCAGGUUUUCACAACAAAACCCGUCCAAUUGCUACUAAAAACUAGCCCAAAACUAGCUCGAUUGUGUUCCAGGGGGUAAAAUCUGCUUUUUUGGCAGGGUUCCCCUGGUAAAAUUUGCAUUCCAGGGGCUAAAUAUCAUGUUAUUUGGGGUCGCUUCAACCCGCAGACAUGAAAAACAACCUGAGGCAACAGUGUAAAAGUAGACCAAUUCUGCGGGAAAACCAUUGGCAACACUGAGCUAGAUGCAUCUGAUCGGCGAGAGCCGCAUGCAGGUGGGGAGGAGCUGAAAACGGAGAAGCGAAGUCGGACACUUUCUGCUUCCCGUAGUGACGCUCGUGCUCCGUUUGCAUACUUUACCACAGCUGAAGUGAAAUAAAUGCAAUAUUUGACUAAUACACAGAUAUUUCAGAGACAUUUUAAUUCAAUACUUUAUGUACUGCUUACAGCGUCUGUUUUUAUAAGAAUAAAGUUCAACAUAAGCAUAUAAUAUUUAAACAUCAAUGUAGUGGGGUCUACGUUUUUUUAUCAGUUUUAUUAUCUAAACAUGACACAAUAUAAAAUCAUGACUACAUGAAAAGAGCUUUAACUGUUAUAAAAAUACAGAUUUUUGAGCAUUAGUGGAACUGAAGUUUUCAGAAUAAACACGAAACACACGUGAUUGUUGUCAUGCGGUGAAUUCGGCCAAUCGUGGAACAGCUGUGUUGUCAUUAGAGCUUGUGCAGCCGCUCUUGAGAAACUGCGCUGGCUGACUCAGCGCUGCCGAAUCGCUCUUGCGGUACUUUGAAGCCAUACUUUGAAGCGCUGUCUCAAGUCGGACAAAAUUUCUUACCGGCAUGCACUGCUUCAAGCCAGCUGCCUGAUCGGUCUGUGCAGUGCUGCAUGAAGUCAAACAAGCCUAAUGUUUGUCGAUGUCUUGCUCUAGAGGCAGGCAUAUGCAAAUGUAUUUGCCCAUGUGAUGUCACAGGUCACCCAACAUCAGAAUGGACUGUUUUUCAAAAAAAUGCUGUUUAUAAUGAGGAGGACAUUUUAAGUUAUGAAAUUUUCAGAAUGUUUUAAUGGUACAAAGACCUCUUAGAUCAAGGCAAAUUUAAGAUCCAGAGGAUCUUAUAGAUGCCCAUAUUCAAUAUCUCACUUGGUUAGGCACUGAUCACCUCAGAGAGGCUUUAGUUAAUCCAUGCUCUGAGUGUAGUUCCGUCCUUGGAGGUGAGACAGCAUUGACUCGUUAAAUUGGAUCCUGAAUUUCAAAUUCCUGCUCCACCAACUAAGAUGACAAUGCAAGUGGGUAGCAAGCAAUUGGCCAGUAGAGAUGAAAAGCCUUCGAAGAGGAAGCAAACCCCCUCGGUUACAUUGGCCUAUCAAGUAGCUGAGCUGGCAAGCACAGUUCAUGACAUUCAAGUCUUAUUAUCAAUGCCACCUACUCAUUGGAAUUUGAGCGAGAGGACAAGGGCAUGUGUGUCGGCCUCUCCUUUGCCCAGGUGUGAGCUGGCAUCUAGUUUUUCUAGAUAUGAACCAGACACCUUGUCUCUUGCGGCUUCUGACUCAUUAGAUAAGGAUGAGCAGGACUAUUAUACACACUUGGAUGAAGCAUCUUCACAUUGCCAGUCUCAAUGUUCCCAUAGUGAUAAUGGUUCGAGCCUUAAGGGUACUGCUGCUUCAGUGGUAUUUUCACUGCAGGAUACCCUCACGAUGGUGUUUGCUAAAUUGAAUUUAGACCCACCUCCUCCUGUGUUGGGCCAUUCAAACCUCUUGCAUCGCCAAGUCUCUCAGCAAAAGGAUUUAUUAAUGCCUAGCUGUCCUGACUUUACAAAGGUUGUUUUUUAAGCAUUUUGGUCAGCUCUCAUCCAGACUGGAUCAUGUGGCCUGGCAAUGGCUGAGGUAACAUGCCCUUGGUAACAUGCCUCCAGUGGAGCUGUGCAUUUCUUCCCUGGCGGUAUUGACAGAUGAAUCUCUUAGAGAGGAUCUUCCGUGCCCCGGUCCAGAUCAUUCCCAGCACUUUAAGCACAGUGUAAGUUAUUACGGGCCAUCCACACAUCGAAUGCCUGUUUGUCACAUAACCCAACUCCAACACCUGCAAGGACAGUCUCACAGGCAUCUUGUGCUUGCUUUAGACCACCUACCCCCUAAGGAUAAUGAAAUCGCUCUCUGUUGUCACUAAUGGUACAGGGUCUGUGAUGGGUCACUUUCCAACCUCUAAACUACAGCUUUGGAGAGGGAUUACGAACAACAAGUGGCUCAUUGACACACUUGAGAUGAGCUACUGUCUUCAGUUCCACCACAGACCCCCAUUAUGCACACAUACUUGACCCACAGUGGUUCGUCAAGCUCUCGCUAUAUCUUUGGAGGUCUUGAAGCAACUGGAGAAGGGUGUGAUAGAGCUAGUAAACCCCCAAAUCCAUCCUGGGGGAUUUCAUUCAAAAUACUUCAUAAAAAAUACUUGUUUGCAAGAAAGAUGGAAGUUUCAGGCCCAUCCUGGACCUCAGAUGCCUAAACAGGAGUCUCAAACACAUUCCUUUCUGCAUGCUGCCUGUCAUAGAUGUCUUGCUGUCAAAAGCUAUCAAACCGUGCAAGUGGUUUACUUUUGUGAAUCUGAAGGAUGCAUAUUUCCACAUCACUAUUGCACCUCAUCACAGAAGAUUUCUUCUGUUUAAGUUCCAGGGCAGGACAUACCAAUAUCGAGUUCUACCAUUUGGCCUCUCCCUCUACACCUGUGUUUUCACACAAUGUAUUUAAGUGGCAGUAGAACCUCUACAGUGGGAGGGCAUGUUGAUUCUCCCGUACCUGGAUGACUGGUUGCUUUGUGCCAGGUCACCUCAACAGGCUGCCAGCAACACACAGUGCCUACUAGAGCAUGUCACUGCCUUAGGACUGAAGGUAAACCUACAGAAAAGCUGUCUUACUACGUGCCAGUCAAUACACUUCCUGGGAUUGCAUCUUGACUCUUAAGCAAUGAGGGCCACCCUCACAGCAUGCAGGAGGCAGGCUAUACGGGGAGCCAUAGUGAAGUUCCAGUAUCAAUGCAAGCUACCUGAUUUCAGUUUCCUAUGGCACCGUAAGACACUUCAGACAGGAGUAAUCAGGGAGGCACAUUCUGGUGUGGACAGAAAAUACCAUGGUGGUGUUCUUAAUCAACCGCCAAGGGGCUAUCUUGCCUUCAACUUUCACAAGUGUUGCUGUUGUGGGCGAACAAGCACUUUCUGUCUAUCAGAGCGGCACACAUUCCCGGUCACUGCAACAGCAUUGCAGAUUCACUCUCUCGUUCAGGUCCAAAGCCAGGGGAGUAGUGUCUGCACAGAGCAAUCAUUCAGUCAAUUUGGGGAAUUUAUGGGACUGCAGCAGUGGACCUCUUUGCCAGCAGAGGGACAACGCAUUGUCCACUGUGGUUCACAGUGCAGGAGGAGCAAGGAUCAUAAGGCCAGGAUGCCCUGGCUCACAACUGGCCAGAUCUCCUCCUCUAUGCCUUCCCUCCCAUUCUAUUUCUUUGGCCUGUCCUGAGGCAUGUGCAGGAGAAACUCCAAAGACUCAUUUUAGUGGCUCCCUGCUGGCCAGCAAGUUUAAUCUGCUGUUGUGACUGGUCCACUGCAACCAUUGCCAGGUCGGAGGGACCUGUUAUUGCAAAGUUGGUGCGAAUAGAUUUGUGGGGGCUUUUUUAAAGGUAGCAGUAUGUCUUAAUCCACCAGUAUGUGUAGUGCAUACCCAGUGGGAUCUGUAGGUGGUGCUUAACACUUAGCACCUUAUUAGCGACUUGAACAAGGAGAUAUUAAGAGUCUUUCACGAGUUCACACUUACAUAUAAUUAGAGUAAAGGUUAGACAUAUUUGGCGUGCUGUCUGGGGGGAUGAGGGCUCUGAGCUCGGAAUUUUGGCCCGAACACAGAGUACUCCCCCUGGUUGUGAUAAGAAUAGUUAGAACUAGAGGUGAGGAGAUUGGGUGGUGGAGGGAUGCUGACAAACUGUCAACGAACAGAGGUAAGUCUGCUGUAUAUAUGUAACAGAGUUUAAAUAAUGGUUGUUAAAUUCAGCUUAAAUUGGAAAAACUCGCCAUUGGCUGUUGUGUUGCUCGCGUUUGUGCACGUGAUAUUGCGGGGCGGAGCUAUGUAAUCAGCAGAGUCUCAUAGCUCGUCCUGCUGGUAAGUCGCAUCAUUAUUUGCUCUGUCUUAAGCCCGGGAUACACUGCAUGAUUUUUGGCUGUCCCAGACGAAAGAUUGCCAUUGUGAAACAAUCGUGGCGAUUUCUGUGAUCGUGGCUCUUAAUCGGUGGUCCUAUGUCGUACAGUGAGAGAGGUCCAAAGAUGUCUGUUUUCCCGGUCUUGCGACCAAAGAUAGCCUACGAUAGUUUUCUGACAGUGUCAGAAAUUCAGCAUGAUCAACGCAGUGUGUUUGCUGCUACGACCUACGUAUACUGACCAGCCAAUGAAAAUGCGACAUGAAAUCAACGCGACAUGGCGCUAAAACUUAAAACUGCUUACCUCAAGCUCUUUUCCCUUCUUCUUUCACCACUUCCUUUUUAUUUUCAGCACACAUAAAAACUACAACUGCCAAAAGUGUGAUUCAACAUAGUGUUUUGUUUACCAGUAGCGCAUGCUGAUGACGUUUUAUUCUUCUAUAGAAACUUGCAUCGUAGCCUACGAGUCAAUAGGUGUCAUGAUCGUACAGUCUACAUGCAUGUCGCACAGUGUGAUAAAGUAAUGAUCUUAUAGGAUUACUAAAAUCGUGCAGUGUAUCCAGGGCUUUAAUAACUAAGUUUGGGUCGUUUUCAAGCCCAAGUUUGAACUUUAAACUACACAAAAGUCUACUUAUUUUGUCUGUCAGCUCCUAGUUGUGUUAGUCGAGUCAAAUGUGUUAUUUGUGACGAUAAGAUGAAGAGUGUGUUAAUGGUGUUUAUUUCAUUUAAGACUUCUCAUGCAACAUCGAUGCACUGCAUUCUAAUCAGCCUUUUGGUGCUGUUUGUCCCAGUUGUGUCUUGUCCCAGGCCCAGUAAAGCAACUUUGAGUGACCAUCCACCUGAUCUCAGCCUGAAUUAUUCCAUUCAACACACACAGUCACAUAUAUACCUCUUAUCAUUAAUUGAGUUGAUUAACUGAAUUUUCUCUUGGCUAUAACAUCAACCAAAAAAGUAGUGGAGCUACAUGCGCUCUCUGUGAGCCUACAAUGUCUCAGAAGGGGAACUCAGUAUAAUCAGGUUUCACUUUGGCCGAGUCCAGCUUUCCAACCUAAAGUGUUGUCUAAUUGGUGUGUAAACCAACCUAUUCAGCUUAAGACGCUCAAUCAUGAAGAGGCUUCCCAGGCAGCUCUGUGUCCAGUGAGAGCAUUGUGUGUGUUAAAAACUGCUUCAUGGUGCACCACUGAUCAGUUGUUUGGUUUGGUGCCUGUCGGAAAGGCACACCCUUGUCGAAACAAAGACUUGUACCAUUGUACAUGGAUAUGGUUUGGCAGGUCAGACAGUUCCAGCAUCCAUUUGACUCGGGCGGUGGCUACUUCUUGAGCAGUACUAUGUACCUCUCUCUGAGAUAUGUGCUGCGGCCACAUGGACAUCACCUUCAAAAGAUUUUACAGAUUCAAUGUGGCCCUUAUUCCUUUGGUCAGUUCUGCUGUACUGUCGGACAGUAUUUAGGUUGGUGUAGUUCUCGUGACUUGGUUAUAUUCCUCUUCCACUACAUUCAACCAUCUCUGGAAGUCUGGAACAGCAAAAUAGAACUCUGUUUACUGGUGUAACCUUGGUUUUAUGAGAAGUGGAAGACCUCCAGAGUCUCUGGUCACUCUGACUGAGAGAAAGACUUCAGAGUCCGACUGUGAUGUGAGUGGAAUCUAUAUAGCUUCUGACACGUCACUGGUCAGGGUCACGGGUGACACAACAAUGCGGAAUUCUCUAUAUGACGCGCCAAGUCAAGACUCCUUCCACUAUGUUCGACCAUUUCUGGUGGUCUUCCACUAUUCAUCGAAACAAGGUUACAUCAGUAACCAGUGCUACAUGUCAUGGAAAAACAUCAUGGGAAUUAUAAAAUAAAAAAAACAAACUUCAUAAAUGUAACUGAAAAUAAUUCAGUUCAUAACACAAUGAAUUUCUUUUUAAUAUUCCUUAAUUAUGAAUUUUGUUUGUAUAUAUAACUCAAAGGCCUCUAUUGAAUGAAAUCAGUCAAUUCCGUGUGCUUUUUGUUUGAUCCCAACAGGUUGUUGCAGCAGCAAGAAAUUUAUUAUGUACUCAAUGUGUUGUACAAUGUGGUGACUAAUUACAGAACCAUUAUUAUAUGAAUUGAGUUACUCUGCACUUGUACCAGCCUAUCGUUGGCAAAUUUAACAGGGGUUAAAACAUGCUACUCACAUGGUUUAACUGGGGUAACUUGAUCAGGUCACUUUUAUAUAGUCACAUAGUCAUGACAAAAAGGCAUAUGAGGGUUUUGACAUGAGGGUGUCAAUGAUUUUUUUUUUUUUGCCUGAACUAUUGCAUUCAAAAACAGAGAAACACUGAGUGUUGUGUGUUAUGCUUUAUUGAGUGAGUGGGAGAGGUGGUCUGACUGUAGAAAAAGAUAGCAAGUUCUCUGGUCUAAGCUCCUCAAUACAAGUUAUACAAACACAAGUUUACCUACCGAUAUUCAAAGCCAGGGCUCUUAAAUGUGGGUUUACCAAGGAUAGAUAAAGAACUUUUUAUUCUUUCAAAUCAAAUGUAGGUACAUAAACCAAAUAAUUAAA